rnacentral:lncRNA from 1 species
GGUAAAUAAUCAUAACAAUUCCUCAUACUUCUAAUGUCUAUUAUUUCUUACACACUUACAGGAGCAUUUCUGUCUGCUCUACAAGGACUGUACUGCUGUGCCACCAUGGAAAAGGAGAAGGAGAAUCCAUUACUCUGUUUCAAGAAGAAAGAUUUUCUAUGGCAAAAAAGGAGGUGAAAAGAAUGGCUAAUACAUUUACAGGCACUCAUGACACAAAGCUGUCUGUUCAGGCACUAAGAGUUUGUAAGACACACAAAGCAGAGAAAGCAGACAAGGGCCACAAGACAACAGGCCCUUGUCCUCCAUCUGCAAGCGAGAGCAUCCUGAUCUGUUUCAGAUGUGUGGCUCAUCAUUUGGAGACAAGCUAUUUGACUACAAACGCUCUCGAUGUCCUCAUCACAGUGUAUGAAUAAUUCAUGGUGAACAUCAUGUGGGACUGGAUUAUAUUUGGAUAUUUUAUGUUGAUCAUUCUUUAGCCUGGCUGCUGUGACUCAUCACAACCUUUGGUAGCACUUUUCAAGGGUGAAGAACAUGAAACACAAGGGUUCAUUUUAAAGAAAAGAAAAAGCAGUGUUAAGGAACUGAAGACACAGACCAAAAACACAGUGGUUGGUCCCAUAUUUGUUUAAAGAUCGUUAGUCAUAAAAAGAGUCUGGAACAAAUACAGAGAAAGCACUUCUUAAUUCCCCUCCCUGAGUCUAUAGUAACUACUAUUCUACUUUGUUUGCAUGAGUUCAACCUUUCCAUAAUUUGCAUAGGAGUGAGAUUUAUACUGUAUUUGUCACUCUGUGUGUUACUUAUUUCACCAAGCGUAAUGUUCUCCAGAUUCAUCAAUGUAGUCACUGAUAUUGCGAUUUCCUUCUUUUGUAAAAUCUGAAUAGUAUUCAAUUGUGUGUUUGCAGUACAGUUUCCACAUGGCUUCAUCUGCUGAUUAAACACUCAGGUCAACUCUGUGUCUUGGCUACUAUGAAGAGUGAUGCAGAAAACCUUGGAGGAUAAGUAUCCCGUAGAUGUCCUGAUUUCAAGCCCCUUCAGAUACUUAUUACAUAGUGACAUGCCAAACCAUAUGGUAGAACUCUUUUUAAUUUUUGAGACCUCUACACAUUUUUUUUUCUAUAAUGGUUGUAUUACAUUUCCAUCAACAACAUUUUUAAUAUGACCUUCUCUGCCUAUAUUUUCCUACUGGGGCCACAAUCUUAAUGAAUAUAUGUUAACAAAAAUGGGAUACUUUAUACAAAGUGAGUGUAGUGGCAGACAGCAGGACUCCAUAUACAAGAAUGGGGCAAGCCUCUAUGAGGCUGGAGGGUAAAAUCCCUAUUUUCCAUAAAGGACGUUUUCUUGUGGGGACUGGAGAAAUGACUCAGCAGUUAAGAGCAAGUUGAUGCUCCUGCAGAGAUCCUGAGCUUGGUUCCAGUAUCCAGUCUCUUUCUGCACUUCAAGGUCACCUGUACUCAGACAUGCACAAACACACACAUAAAUGAAUAUUAUGUGUAAAAUUAAAUAUGCAUAAAUAAUUCUUAAUUUUUUUCUUGCCCGCCUAGCUACCCAGUUAAGUAGUCAUCUAUAACAGUAGUUCUCAACCUAUGGGUCUCGUGACUCAUUUGGAAAAACUCUAUCUCUAAAAAUAUUUAUGUUAUGGUUCAUAACAGUAGCAAAAAAGAAUUAUGAAGUUGCAACAAAAAUAAUUUUAUGGUUGGGGUCACCACAACAUGAGGAACUGUAUUGAAGGGUUGCAGCAUUAUAAGGGUUGAAAACCAUUCAUGGAGAAUAAUUCAUAACCCACAGCAUUAGGUUCUUGGUUGUCAAGCUAAAACAUGAGCUCCUGCUAGCUCUUACUCUUGAGAAGCUGAACAGCUGAGGAGCUGGCUCACAGCAUCCUAACUCCGGAAGCACUGGGCCUGUGAACUGCAGAGGAGCACACACACUUCUGCCCUCAGCCUACUAUUCUCCUCCAGUCUUCCGCUGUUCCUUUUCACCACUUGCAAGUCUUACUUCCGUGACUCACUGCACCUGAUUUCUCUUCCCACCAUGCACCGUAUCCUCUCCUCAUGAAAGGUGCAGCACAAAGAACAAUAAAACACAUGGUUGGAAUUUUGUCA